UAAGGAAUAUUGGUCAAUGGACGCAAGUCUGAACCAGCCAUGCCGCGUGAAGGAUGAAGGCCCUCUGGGUUGUAAACUUCUUUUACAGGGGACGAAAAAGGGAAUUAUUUCUCACUUGACGGUACCCUGGGAAUAAGCACCGGCUAACUCCGUGCCAGCAGCCGCGGUAAUACGGAGGGUGCAAGCGUUAUCCGGAUUUACUGGGUUUAAAGGGUGCGUAGGUGGACAUUUAAGUCAGCGGUGAAAUCUCCGGGCUUAACCCGGAAUUGCCAUUGAUACUAUUUGUCUUGAAUUAUCUGGAGGUGAGCGGAAUAUGUCAUGUAGCGGUGAAAUGCUUAGAUAUGACAUAGAACACCAAUUGCGAAGGCAGCUCACUACGGAUAUAUUGACACUGAGGCACGAAAGCGUGGGGAUCAAACAGGAUUAGAUACCCUGGUAGUCCACGCCCUAAACGAUGGAUACUCGACAUCAGCGAUACACUGUUGGUGUCUGAGCGAAAGCA
rnacentral:rRNA from 1 species